AAUUGAAGAGUUUGAUCAUGGCUCAGAUUGAACGCUGGCGGCAGGCCUAACACAUGCAAGUCGAGCGGCAGCGACUUAACUGAACCUUCGGGGGACGUUAAGGGCGGCGAGCGGCGGACGGGUGAGUAAUGCCUGGGAAUAUGCCUCAGUGUGGGGGAUAACUAUUGGAAACGAUAGCUAAUACCGCAUAAUCUCCGAUCUUUUACGAGAUGGAAGCAAAGAGGGGGACCUUCGGGCCUCUCGCGCUGAGAUUAGCCCAGGUGGGAUUAGCUUGUUGGUGAGGUAAUGGCUCACCAAGGCAACGAUCCCUAGCUGGUCUGAGAGGAUGAUCAGCCACACUGGAACUGAGACACGGUCCAGACUCCUACGGGAGGCAGCAGUGGGGAAUAUUGCACAAUGGGGGAAACCCUGAUGCAGCCAUGCCGCGUGUGUGAAGAAGGCCUUCGGGUUGUAAAGCACUUUCAGUAGGGAGGAAGGUAGUGUAGUUAACACCUGCAUUAUUUGACGUUACCUACAGAAGAAGCACCGGCUAACUCCGUGCCAGCAGCCGCGGUAAUACGGAGGGUGCGAGCGUUAAUCGGAAUUACUGGGCGUAAAGCGCAUGCAGGCGGCCUGUUAAGUCAGAUGUGAAAGCCCGGGGC
rnacentral:rRNA from 1 species